rnacentral:sRNA from 2 species
GUGCAGCGCGCCUAGGGAUCCGGUCGGACACGACGCAGGACCGAGAGGUGCAAGCCGGUCGAAAUGGCGCAUUGCCGACAUAGACCGGUGACACGGCGGGACAAAAACCCGGGAGAC